GAUCGAAGUGGCUUGCAUUACUUUUGGGCAGGCUCCUUGUGGAAUGCAAUGAGAGACAGGUGGAUAGAGCGUUGGACUAGUUAACUGUAAGGUUGCAAGAUUGCAUCCCCGAGCUGACAAGGCCCUCCCUGUCAACACCACCUCAUAAGAUGAGGAAGUACUUUGUUUAAGAGGAUUGCCUGCUGCAGUUGUUCGAGAGAUGUCUAGUUUGCAGCUGAACAUGCAACAUAGAGAAGACCAGCAAGGGGACCCUCAGCAUAACAUAGACAUGACCUCGCUGGCGCUGGCAAAGACCUUACCUCCAGCCUCACCUCUCCGUCAAUAGGGAGACCAGAAUUAGAUGCAUAUAUAGAGUCAGCACUGGGAGACUUGCAAGAUGAUGUGAUGGAGUCCUGACCGACAGGACUUGUUGUAUUCUGUGCCUCUUGGGCUUACAAUCAGAGGGGCUGCCUCAUAGAGAUCCUAUUAACUUACUCAUAUUCUAAUUCUAUGGGCCAUUUCUAAAGAAAUUAUAAACCAAUUACAGGAAAUGGGACAAUACACACCAACCCAAUCUGUAUUGAUCCCGAGACAGAGAGAGACCUCCAGCCUAGCCAGUCACUGUCUGAACCCAGAGUCUCAGAUACACAGAGAGACCUCCAGCCUAGCCAGUCACUGUCUGAACCCAGAGUCUCAGAUACACAGAGAGACCUCCAGCUGAGCCAGUCCUGUCUGAACCCAGAGUCUCAGAUACACAGAGAGACCUCCAGCCUAGCCAGUCACUGUCUAAACCCGGUGUCCAGUGUCCCAGACACAAAGAGAGACCUCCAGCCUAGCCAGUCAAUAUCUGAAGACAUUGGGUAACUCUACACUUAGAAUUAGUGGAGACUCGAGGAACCCUGGAGUUCCUCAAGGAACCAUUGUUAUUCAUUGCAAAUCCCAAAGUUGUAAUAGUUAGCAUUUUAUUACUAUAUGUAAUCAGUAAUGUUAAUAUUGUACUACAAUAUGCAUAAAUAUUCAAGGGAAAUAAAUGAAUCACAUGUAUCACAUUUACUCUAAUGGGUGGCCAAAACCUGAAAGCCACGCCUCCAAUCUUCUGAUAGGCUGCCACCUAAAUACCCCAAAUACCUCUACAAUAUAUUACUAAUAAGGUAAAAAAAAAUUAACCCCUCCCCAUCCAUGUGAAAAGGUUUGAACCUUAACACAUGCAUUCACCGAAAACCCUUUUCCUCAAAGAACAUUUUACAACUGGAAAGGUUUCCCCUAUGGGCAAUUAUUUAAACUCCAUAAAGGUUCUUCCAGAUUCCUUUACUUAUAAGAGUAAAGUAAGUCACAGUAUAGUCCUCCUGGACACUC